CCGACAGGCGGCCGCCUGCUCGGAUACUGACUUCGGUACCUGAUACGGCCGGGGCAG
rfam:Streptomyces coelicolor A3(2) complete genome